rnacentral:rRNA from 1 species
AGGACGAACGCUGGCGGCGUGCCUAACACAUGCAAGUGGAGCGACGAACCAGGCUUCGGCCUGGGGCAGAGCCGCGAACGGGUGAGUAACACGUGACUAACCUACCCUAGAGUGGGGAAUAACUUCGGGAAACCGAGGCUAAUACCGCAUAACAUCGCAGAGGGAAGCUCUUUGCGAUACAAAGGAGUAAUUCGCUCAAGGAGGGGGUCGCGGCUGAUUAGCUAGUUGGUGAGGUAACGGCCCACCAAGGCUAAGAUCAGUA